UACGUAGGGUCCGAGCGUUGUCCGGAAUUAUUGGGCGUAAAGGGCUCGUAGGCGGUUUGUCGCGUCGGGCGUGAAAACACGGGGCUUAACCCCGUGCCUGCUUCCGAUACGGGCAGACUAGAGGUAUGCAGGGGAGAACGGAAUUCCUGGUGUAGCGGUGAAAUGCGCAGAUAUCAGGAGGAACACCGAUGGCGAAGGCAGGUCUCUGGGCAUUAACUGACGCUGAGGAGCGAAAGCAUGGGGAGCGAACAGG
rnacentral:rRNA from 1 species